GACGCACUAGAUUUAGGUUCUAGCGCCGCAAGGUGUGCGAGUUCAAGUCUCGCCUCCCGCACCAUUUUCAUCGGUUGUCACA
rnacentral:tRNA from 1 species